AAUUAGGAUUAAAUCUUAACCCUAUCGAAAAACCCUCCUUCCAUUCAUGUCCAUCUCUUCACUCCACUACCCGGUUCCGCCCCCAUCUCUGAACUCUUUGAAGGUCCUCUGGACGAUGCCCAGUUCCAUCACUGCCACUGCCCCCUCGUGUCCGUCUCCUCACUCCAGCGCCGCUGUAACCUCCUAUACUGGAAGACGAAACGUCCUCCGUCCUAUUCUGUUCAAUUCAUGCUCGUAAUCUCCAAUCCGCCACAUUCUCUUUAACAUUCAAUUCGCAGUCAUCACCUCCUCUACUGGGAAAGGUAAUACAAGAGACAGGCCAAUGAGCGACAAGAAGCAGACUUGAUCGUCAUAGGGGAAUUUUCUUCAAAAUUGCUUCCGCUUAGUGUCUUUACUGUUUUCCAGUUUUGAGGAUUUAAAAUGAGUUCCAUGUUUCGGUUUGUUUUUAAGUAAUUUAUAAACGAUACUUUAAAUUUUUUAUUUUGUUUAAAAUAGGGCGCGAAUGAAGUUUCUUUGAUAAUGAUUGUUUCAAAUAAAUUUUUAUCGUAUUUCGUAUCAACCAAAGUGUUUUUUUUUUAAAGAUACUGACUUUGACUUAAUCUGAAAAGUUGGGACGAUACAAUGGUGA